GUCUGAGCACUUGUACAUCCACGUCAGAGGAACGUCGUGCUAAAAAGUAUUUUCUUGUGUUACAGAAUGAUUCCGUGGAAAUAAAAAGGGAGGCUGCAAUCCGUGGGCUGGUGGUGUACCCCAGUGAAAAAGAGCUGGAUCCAAUAUUCAAAAAGAGACCCAAUGGGAGCAUCAUCAAGAAGGGGGACACACCCUGCCAAUGUACAGGGGUACCAGGGGUUCCACAUCCUUAGUUUCCAUCUAAACAGAUUCGUCCCUGGAACGCUGGAAAGUCCAACAGUCUUCCAAGCAUUCCUCUUGGAUGGUCUGGCAAGGUGGAAUGAGGACCGAGCCAGGGCAGCUGAGGGAAAGCAUACCUACAGUGGCUUCAAUAGGCAUGCUAUCAACCAGCUUUCUGUGGAGGUCCUUGGGACGCAGCUGAUUGACUACUAAGAGCCUCGCAAAUAUACAGAUAUAUCUAGUGUUGAAGAAUAUAUUUGGUCAGUUGUGACACAUAUAUUUGCCCACGUUUUGCAAAAUAGUUUGGGAUAGUUUUAGUGUUAAUGUACAGUUAUUGUUUAGGAGUUUAGUUUUGCUUCUGAUUUCUCUGGUAUUUUGUCAGGUGAGCUCAUAGGUAUUGAGUACUUAUACAACCAGACAGAAAGUGCUUUGGAGGACCACAAAAAAAAAGUAUUAUACUGACGCGUGUUGUCUGGAGAAUUUUCAUUUCCAAAUAUCUUUGCCUAUUUUUUUAGAUAAUACUCCUAUGUUGGCUGAAGUUCAACUAGCAGCUCCCUCAUCUUCAUGCCUCCAGAACUCCAUCCCACUAAAGAAGCCUAAGCCUGUUGACGUUGGGAGUGACGGUGCAGUUCAGUCAUUGGCCAACUAUGUGCACCUUGAGGGACCAUAGCCUUGCGUUGUCUACGGAGGAGUCUCGUCACGUCGUGUCCCUCUGGAGUGCACUGAGUGAGUUUGACAAAGCCAGGACAGUGUAUCCACCAAGCUGGCGAAAGGUCGCUUUAGGGCCACCAAGAAACUUGUGGCACCAGGAGUCCAAUCCACUAGACGCUGCUUCGCUGGCUUCAAUACCCCAGCUCAAUGGCCUGACUGCAACCGUGUGGUCGAGGCCAUCUUUGUUAAGCUCUGCUUAGCAAUCACCGGUCGCAAAAAAAACCCCAGAUGGCUCGGCGCGAGGCCCGUCAUCAGGCCCAUGAUCGUCGUCGGAUGGCCCAGGAAAGUGUCGAGGCCGGUUGGCAGGCUCUUCGGCAGGCCGGUCACCAGGCCCAUGAUCGUCAUCGGAUGGUCCCAGGAUCACGGGCACACUCAUGUUCAGAUAGGCCAGGAACACAUGAGGCAUGUUAGCAGGCUCGUCGACUUAGGCAGCCUCGUUGGCCUUGACAUGUUGGGUCUUGGCUUAAAAAAAAUAGUCAUGUUCGGUCUUCCGCAGGCUCCUCCGCAGAAUGGCCAGCAGGAUCACUCGCAGCCGCUUGGUCAUAUUGCUCAGGCACUUUGUCAUUACGUUCACAGUUAGGCUCCCAAGAAGGCUCGUCAGCAGAAUCGAUGGCAGCGGCGCCAGAGGCGUCAGGUUCGUCAGCAGGGCCACCGGCAGGCUCGUCAGCAGACUCAUUUUCAGUUAGCCCAGGAUCCUAACAUGUUCAGUCGUGGCUUAAAAAAAAAAAAAAAAUUCACUUGCUCGUCAGCAGACUCAUUUUCAGUUAGCCCAGGAUCCUAACAUGUUCGGUUGUGGCUUAAAAAAAAAUAAAUUCACUUGCCUACAUUGAAUAGGAGUAUGUGUAUGUAUGUAGGGCAGCGUUUGUCAAUCUUAACUGAGUCACGGCACGUUUUUACAUUAGACGAAAUCUUGCGGCACACCAAAAACCAAAAAUAUUCCAAAAUUACUUUCUGUACAGUAUAUUCAGUUUUAAAAUAAUUUCUCAAUAUUUAUACUUCGUGUGAAGCCUGUUUAAAUAAACACAAAGCCGAUAUCCUAGCAGGAAUCAUUGUCAACAGAUCUCAGUCUCAGUAUUUUUUUUUAUAGCGCUUAUGGCACUCACAGCUUCAGGUAGCAAAUCAGUGUCCUUGUAUUUCAGCAUUCUUUUAAAACUGUUAAUUUGGUAUUUCCAUUUCUUAUAAAUUCGCUCAAAGUCCUUUAUCAAAUCAUUAAACUUUGCUUCUUGUAAGGAUUUUCCUUUUUCAGUGAGUGUGCGUGCGCGCUGACUUCUCCGUGGAACUUCCGGAUGUGUGCAAUCAGUGAACAUUGAUGACAGAAGUGUUUCUUCUCGAACUGCUUGAGCUUCUGAAUGCUGUUCUUUCUUCUUGUUUUCAUCCUGCACAAAUAAUGCUGCACUGCUUUGUCCAGCGGGCUGGAUUAUGUCUUUCUUGUCUUCCGCCAUUUUGCCUUGUUUGCACUUUAUACACAUACAGUGACUUGUCUUGUUGGCAAAUGUGCAACUUUUUGCAUAAAUGUCACUUUGGAAGUACUUGUAAUACUUGCUAUACACAAGUCUUAGUGAUUUCUUGAUUAGCUUUUACUUAUUAGCUUGCUUAUUGACGUCUUCAAUGCAUUCUCCAAACGUGUGUAGCAUGUCUGUCUUGCAGCUUCUUUCGACCGCCAUGUUGCCUUCUCUGGAAUUCUUUCUCCCGAGCAGGAAUGUUCUACUUUCUCUCUUCGAAGCAGAAGUGUUCUACUAUACCGGCUUGUUCACGAAUGGAGACUCGAGUUCUUGUUUAACUGAUGUUUACUGUAGUCUUGCUUUCACUACAGGUCCACCGUAGAACUGGCGAUACAAUGAAGUGAUGUACAAUUGAAUAAAUGAACAUAUACAAAAUAUAAAACACAAAUGAAAAUAUACAUACCACUUUGGCCUGCUCAUGAACAAACAGGGAACUUGACGUAUUUAGCUUUUAUAUGGCUUCCUUUCAGCAACUCGAACGAGCUAGUGCUGCUUAUGCUACAGCUCGCUGCAUCGGACUUUCACUUCCUCAUUGGAAAACAGGACGCGACCUGAUUUGGUUGUGCGUUCACUGCAAUUAAACUUGGAAAUUUAACCAUUUUAGUUUCUUUCAACUAAUUAUUAACAAUAUACUUCCAUGAAUUGUAAAAUGACAACAGGAAAAUAAAAAUAAUUCACACAAAAAAAUAUUAAGUUGCACGUCUUGUAAAAGUUAAAUUAACUUUAGCGAUUCAACAGCUCCGCUUGCUGGCGAAACAAAAAAUUGCGGGACAACUUGACAGCUGUGACAUUAUUUUUUUUAGGGAUGGGAAUCUGGCAUGAAGCCGAUUCGAUAUGUAUCUAGAUCAGUGCUUCUCAAUUAUUUUCUGUUACGCCCCCACCCCCCCAAGCAAGACGUAAAUGUUUCGCGCCCCCCCCCAAACUAUCUGCCGCCACUGUAAAUAGUAUCAUUUGUCUAUAAAAUUACUAUCAUAAAUACACAUCUGCCUAACACUGUGUCCUUUUUUUCUAAUAAAGAAAAAAAGUAACAUAGAUUAACUUAUAAUAAAUUAUAACUUUAUUAACGUUAUUUUGUUUGUAACAGAGAAGACUUGACGAGCAUCAAUUUGCCUGAAUUAAUAAAAAAAAAAAAAGUCAACGUUCAAACUAAAAAUACACUCAAGGUACAUUUUUGACCAUUUGAUACAGAAAAAUAAAAUGUAAUAAAAUCAGUAAAUAAUAACAAAUUCCGAAUUGAUUAGAAACGUUCACUCAUGAGGACAAUAUGCCAAAAAAUUUGACCGAAAAAAACAAAAGUGAAUAAAAGAAAAAAAAGUGUCCUUGGACAGAAGGACACUUUUUAUUUUUGCUGCUUACACUCAGUAUUACCUCCUUUGCAAUGGUGUGGAGUUAUUUUGCAAUGAGCAUGCGAUCAAUGCUCACUGGUUUACUGAUAUAACACUGACAAAGCAGGACGAUUGUUGGCAGUAUUCGGCACGUUUUCGCUGAAAAACAAUCAAGCGGCUUAUCAAUGAGAUUGGGUUCGAAUGUCUUUAAGUGGCGUCUUAAUUGAUUUGGCUUCUGGUUGUCCGCUAUAAAUAUUUUUGGACACAGUAAACAGUGGUCUUUCCUCAUCACACACUGUAUUAAAAGUCAAAGCUAAAAGGCAAACGGCACGAAAAAAGCGCAUUCUCGGCGGCCGAGGUAGAACCGUAGGUGAGGGCGGUCGACGUGACGAUCCCAAGCCGAAAAUGGCACUUCUCGGGCGGCGACGUGAGAACCCGACAAGACCGUGGGUUGCUGCGUGAGUGAGUCCGGUCGGAAAACGGCUUUCGAAAACGGCGGCGGCGCACUGCUCUUCAUAUCUGUUUUCUAUGUGCUGAGUGCUCUUCCUUAGUUCAAAAAUACUGAACGCACUCUGUAAAUGAGAGCGCCACUGCCACCCACCGAGUGGAUGUGCAAGUACACGUUAUUCCAGUACGGCAAAAAAAAAAAAAAAAAAAAAAGCAUAUUCCCCGAGGACACAUGCGCCCCCCCUGGCAUCGCUCUGCGCCCCCCAGGGGGGCGCGCCCCACUAUUUGAGAAGUACUGCCCUAGGGGGUCUGUGUUUCCCUUCGUAUAGCAAUUCUUGUGGGCUGGGCUGAGUCAAAGUCCAGGGCUGCUUUUUAGUCCCAGUCCGCCCCUGGUUAUCGGUAUCGGUUGAAAAAUGUAUUAUUGUGCAUCACUACAAAAUAUGUAACCAUUGACUGCCAUUAUAAUUCAUAAAUUUGGAUUUAUUGUACACCUGACGUAUUUUAUUGCAAUUUUCGUGAUUUUCGUAUCAAUCCUGUCAACGACGGUCAAAUAACAUGUGAGACGGAUAGUGUAUUUACACCCCUAACCCUGCAGGUGGCGCAAGAGACCACUAAAUGAUUUUGCAUGCAAACUCAAUACUGUUAAAAAGGUGGAUUUUCCGCUACUUUUGGUAUUACCAUGCUUGCUGAUGGUUGCUCACACCUGGUCGUGAAGAACUAUUCACUAUAUUGUGUUCUUAACGUCUUUUUUUGACCACGACUUGG